AUUGUAGUCUGCAACUCGACUACAUGAAGCUGGAAUCGCUAGUAAUCGUAGAUCAGCAUGCUACGGUGAAUACGUUCCCGGGUCUUGUACACACCGCCCGUCACACCACGAGAGUUUGUAACACCCGAAGCCGGUGGAGUAACCAUUUUGGAGCUAGCCGUCGAAGGUGGGACAAAUGAUUGGGGUGAAGUCGUAACAAGGUAGCCGUAUCGGAAGGUGCGGCUGGAUCACCUCCUUUCUAAGGA
rnacentral:rRNA from 1 species